rnacentral:rRNA from 1 species
UACGGAGGGUGCUAGCGUUGUUCGGAAUUACUGGGCGUAAAGCGCACGUAGGCGGUCUGUUAUGUCGGAUGUGAAAGCCCUUGGCUCAACUGAGGAAGUGCAUCCGAAACUGGCAGGCUAGAGUACUAAAGAGGAUCGCGGAAUUCCCGGUGUAGAGGUGAAAUUCGUAGAUAUCGGGAGGAACACCGGUGGCGAAGGCGGCGAUCUGGGUAGAUACUGACGCUGAGGUGCGAAAGCGUGGGGAGCAAACAGG